UGUGGCUCACCGAAGUGGUCAAUUUCAACCAAACUUACAACCAGGGUUCCUAAACUCUGUAACCCUCCAGUGCCCAUAGAACUGUGAUGGUACUAAUAGAAGGUUUUCUGGAGUCAGAAACUUCAAAACAUAAUAACAUGAAAAGGAACAGCCCCUAAAGUAUAUUGCACGUUUACCAAAAAAAAAAAAGAAUAAAAAACAAUAGACAUGAAAAGUCAG
rnacentral:lncRNA from 10 species